GGGCCCGCACAAGCGGUGGAGUAUGUGGUUUAAUUCGAUGCAACGCGAAGAACCUUACCAGGGUUUGACAUCCUGCGAAUUUCUGGGAAACCGGAAAGUGCCUUCGGGAGCGCAGUGACAGGUGGUGCAUGGCUGUCGUCAGCUCGUGUCGUGAGAUGUUGGGUUAAGUCCCGCAACGAGCGCAACCCACGUCUUUAGUUGCCAGCAUUUAGUUGGGCACUCUAGAGAGACCGCCGGUGAUAAACCGGAGGAAGGUGUGGAUGACGUCAAGUCAUCAUGCCCCUUACAUCCUGGGCUACACACGUACUACAAUGCUACGGACAAAGGGCAGCAAACUCGCGAGAGCUAGCAAAUCCCAUAAACCGUGGCUCAGUUCGGAUUGUAGUCUGCAACUCGACUACAUGAAGCUGGAAUCGCUAGUAAUCG
rnacentral:rRNA from 1 species